rnacentral:rRNA from 1 species
GACGAACGCUGGCGGUGUGCUUCACACAUGCAAGUCGAACGGGGUAGCAAUACCCAGUGGCGGACGGGUGAGUAACGCGUAGAAAUCUGCCUUGAGAUGGGGGAUAACAGUCCGAAAGGACUGCUAAUACCGCAUAUGUAUAUAUCCGGACACGGAUGUGUAUGAAAGGAGUAAUCCGUCUUAAGAUGAGUCUGCGUCCGAUUAGCUAGUUGUAGGUAAGCCACCAGGCGACGAUCGUAGCUGGUCUGAGA